GGUAAGGUAGCAAAGUUAUUGCGGCAGGUUGUAGCCCUGACGACGGGGGUCAUCCCCUCUUAUCAA
rnacentral:tRNA from 2 species